UGGCGGGGCUGGGACCAGGCAUCCCUUGCUAGUGACACCAGCUGGGGCAACAGAGCGGACGCGGGGUCCCCGUAAGCUUUGGUCCCUCUUGGUGGCUGCAGGAGCUCCUGUCCAAGGCUGGUGACUGAAGGGCAGCAUGAAGGUGCUGAGCUCAAGCACCCAGCUUAGCUAAGACAGUCCGAUGUUUUCGGUAACCUCGUGUACCCCUGGAGAAGUGGGCCCACCUGCUCCUGUGGCUUGGAUGGUCAAAUGCUUUUUCCAGGGUUCACCAAAGGCCCUUCCCUGCCUGGAUGUCCUUGCUGGAAAGACUCGAGCCUGGAGCAUCCCCAGCCGGGAGGAAUGGAGCACCACGAGGGGCGGAUUCGGUUCUGGUGUUGGUCUCAUGGCAAGGAGGGACCAAAAGCAAGCCUAUGGUGUAGCAUCUUGUCAUUCGGCUGUGAGAAAGGUACUGGGAACCCCGGUGUUCACCCAGGCUCCGCAGUCGCUCCUCUGCUGGCAGGAAGCCGAAGGGAGCCGCGCGGGCGGACGCGGGAGCCCGUCAGUUCCCAUUAACCAUCCCGGCUGCGGGGGGAGUUCUCUGCCGUGGAAAAAUGUGAAGACACAAUCGCUCCCCUGGCUUGCUCCGUGGUUACGCGGGGAUGCGGCUGGCACCCAACACGCUGCCUUGUCCCCAUGCACAGAGCAUCAUGAGAGAUGCCGAGCGGUGAGCAUCUGUUGGGGCCACACCGCGUUGCUUCUCCACAGCUCACCAAUUCCAGACGUUGCCCUUUGCAAAUCUUCUUGUGAGCAUCCUGCUCUGGCCAGCAGUGAGCUGCAGCAUCCGUGGGAUGCAGGGCAAGGGAUCCCUGCAUGGGGGUGAAUGCCCCCCGGAAUGAAAUGGAGAGAGAAAGGCAGUGACAGGGCUUUGAUGCUUUGCAUGGGCCAUCUUUACGCGGGCCACGUUUGGCCAAAAUGGGUUUCGGUGCCCCCUUGCAGUGCUCUUUGUGGCUAUCCCUGUUAUCUCCUGAAAAAAUGAUUAUUCUUGGCUUCAGUGUGGGAGCCUGGCUGUUCUUUUCAUGGUUCUGAAGCUGCUUUUGUUGGUUUUUAGCAUCCUGCUCCAGGCAUAUGAAGGUUGCUUGUGUACCAGAGUGCCAGCACAUGUGCCCAAAUUUUGGCU